rnacentral:rRNA from 1 species
GGCGGACGGGUGAGUAACACGUGGGAACGUGCCUUUAGGUUCGGAAUAACUCAGGGAAACUUGUGGUAAUGCCGAAUGUGCCCUUCGGGGGAAAGAUUUAUCGCCUUUAGAGCGGCCCGCGUCUGAUUAGCUAGUUGGUGAGGUAAUGGCUCACCAAGGCGACGAUCAGUAGCUGGUCUGAGAGGAUGAUCAGCCACAUUGGGACUGAGACACGGCCCAAACUCCUACGGGAGGCAGCAGUGGGGAAUCUUGCGCAAUGGGCGAAAGCCUGACGCAGCCAUGCCGCGUGAAUGAUGAAGGUCUUAGGAUUGUAAAAUUCUUUCACCGGGGACGAUAAUGACGGUACCCGGAGAAGAAGCCCCGGCUAACUUCGUGCCAGCAGCCGCGGUAAUACGAAGGGGGCUAGCGUUGCUCGGAAUUACUGGGCGUAAAGGGAGCGUAGGCGGACAUUUAAGUCAGGGGUGAAAUCCCGGGGCUCAACCUCGGAAUUGCCUUUGAUACUGGGUGUCUUGAGUAUGAGAGAGGUGUGUGGAACUCCGAGUGUAGAGGUGAAAUUCGUAGAUAUUCGGAAGAACACCAGUGGCGAAGGCGACACACUGGCUCAUUACUGACGCUGAGGCUCGAAAGCGUGGGGAGCAAACAGGAUUAGAUACCCUGGUAGUCCACGCCGUAAACGAUGAUUGCUAGUUGUCGGGAUGCAUGCAUUUCGGUGACGCAGCUAACGCAUUAAGCAAUCCGCC